GACGAACGCUGGCGGCGUGCCUAAUACAUGCAAGUCGAGCGAGACUCUUCGGAGUCUAGCGGCGGACGGGUGAGUAACACGUGGGCAACCUGCCUGUAAGACUGGGAUAACACCGGGAAACCGGUGCUAAUACCGGAUAAUCCUUUUUCUCUCAUGAGGAAAAGUUGAAAGUCGGUUUCGGCUGACACUUACAGAUGGGCCCGCGGCGCAUUAGCUAGUUGGUGAGGUAACGGCUCACCAAGGCGACGAUGCGUAGCCGACCUGAGAGGGUGAUCGGCCACACUGGGACUGAGACACGGCCCAGACUCCUACGGGAGGCAGCAGUAGGGAAUCUUCCACAAUGGACGAAAGUCUGAUGGAGCAACGCCGCGUGAGCGAUGAAGGCCUUCGGGUCGUAAAGCUCUGUUGUUAGGGAAGAACAAGUACCGGAGUAACUGCCGGUACCUUGACGGUACCUAACCAGAAAGCCACGGCUAACUACGUGCCAGCAGCCGCGGUAACAC
rnacentral:rRNA from 1 species